ensembl:lncRNA
CAAAAUUAUGGUGUUUGGCAUUUUGAUGGCCACAGAGUAUAUGAACUUGAUCUCUAGCUAUGCAGACACUGUUGUUUGAGUCCUGUUAUUCCAUGUUGGAUUGCUAUUUAGAUACAGAGAUUGCAUCAUCCUUCAUACGUAUAAACAGGGAAUCCCCAGGGCUUUGCCAGCUCCUCAUUUCUCCACCUACAGUGUUGUUAUGAUGAGCUAUAUUUAAACGAGCUGCCUGAAACCUUCAGGUUCCAGCAACAGAUGAAUAUUGUCAUUUUUAGGUAACAUGGAGGGUGAGGGCUUACUGGAGCAGGUCCUGCAGUACUGAUGGAGGAAGCAGCCUUGUGAGCUAAGCAGAGAGCUAUAAGCAGAGUUCCCUAAAGUUAAAAGUCUUGUUUUGUUUUGUUUUGUUUUCCACUUGAGCAUCCAUCACGAGUUACCCUAAGGAUUUAGAAAGGAGAUACAGCUGGAAAGAGAUAUGUCUCUUUAAGACUGUCUCUCUUGCCGAUCAGUUUGGGAAUAUUGUUGUUGCUGUGCUUUCAAGAUAAACUCAUCCAGGAUGACUCACCAGAGGCCUUCCUUACAGGAGUAUCUCAGAUGAGAUUAAGCUUCUCCAUCUCAGUAUUUUGUCACCAUAAUCCUACCUGGAGUACGAGUUCCAAGCUACAUCAGAGCUACAAGCCAGCUUCACUUUCUUUCAUAUGGAUACUAUGGCCAAGAUGGCAGCAGUGGCGGCAGUAAACUUGGACUGAGCCAGCCCUCUUUAAGUUCUCUUUCCUCAUGGUUAACCAGCAAUGUUAGCAGUAGCCAAGUGAGAGGAAAUCUCAAACUCUGCCUCCCUCUUUCUGAAAUAGAAAUUCUCAUGUUUCUGUUGGGGCUCUGAACUCUUCAUGAGAAGGCUCUUAUGUUAAUCACAGGGAUUUGUAUAAUGGCCCCUCAGUGAAUCUUGAUACAGAAAAGGACCCACAAGAGUUUUCUAAGCCAUUCUUCCUUGUCUGCUAUUAGUAUUAUUAUUAAAAACAAAACAAAACAAAACACCUUACCUUCCGUCUUAGAAUCAAUACUCUGUAUUGGUUCCAAGGCAGAAGAGUGGUUAAAGGCUAGGCAGUGGGGGUUAAGUGACUUGCCCAGGGUCACACAGCUGGGAAGUAUCUGAGGCCAGAUUUGAACCUGGGACCUCCUGUCUCUAGGCCUGGCUCUCAAUCCACUGAGCUACCCAGCUGCCCCCUUUGUCUGCUAUUAUUUUAAGGUUUUUUUUUGUUGUUGGUGGUGGUGUUAUUUGGCUUUAAGGGAGAAAGGUAAUAACAUUCCACUUCUAAAAUCUCCCUGAAAAGCCACUAAUGGAAAAUUUGUCUGCUUAUAAAUUCAAUAUACAAAUGAAAACCAAUAUAAGCAAGUAUAAAAUCCAGAUUGUGUAAACCAGUGCUCUUAAAUAUAGCACACCCCAGCUUGGAUAGAAUCAGAGGUGUCUUCAGGCAGGUCUAUCUCAGUCAACUAUAGCAGAUGAGAGACUAUCUUGUGUUAGAGUACUCCCAAGAAGAGAUCUAUAGAAUCAAUAGACCUAUAGAAACUAAUUUCAGCCUCACAUUUGAGAAGUGAAUGUCAAGAAUCCAUAAAUUUUUCUUUGGGGGGGGGGAAAUCCCUCUUGAUGUGGAAGCAUCUUUCAUUCUGUUUUGCCCUUAUAGAAAGCAGAACUGUUGGUCACCAUUCUGAGAGGUGACAAGAGCAGUAGUAGAUGACU